rnacentral:rRNA from 1 species
AUUGAACGCUGGCGGCAGGCCUAACACAUGCAAGUCGAACGAGUGGCGGACGGGUGAGUAAUGUCUGGGAAACUGCCCGAUGGAGGGGGAUAACUACUGGAAACGGUAGCUAAUACCGCAUACCAUCGGAUGUGCCCAGAUGGGAUUAGCUAGUAGGUGGGGUAAUGGCUACCCUAGGAGACGAUCCCUAGCUGGUCUGAGAGGAUGACCAGCCACACUGGAACGGAGACACGGUCCAGACGCAGACGGGAGGCAUCAGUGGGGAAUAUUGCACAAGGGGCGCAAGCCUGAUGCAGCCAUGCCGCGUGUAUGAAGAAGGCCUUCGGGUUGUAAAGUACUUGCAGCGGGGAGGCGUUACCCGCAGAAGAAGCACCGGCUAACUCCGUGCCAGCAGCCGCGGUAAUUC